rnacentral:rRNA from 1 species
UACGGGGGGAGCAAGCGUUGUUCGGAUUUACUGGGCGUAAAGGGCGCGUAGGCGGUCAGCACAAGUCAAUUGUGAAAUCUCCGAGCUUAACUCGGAAAGGUCAACUGAAACUGUGCGACUAGAGUGCGGAAGGGGCAACUGGAAUUCUUGGUGUAGCGGUGAAAAUGCGUAGAUAUCAAGAGGAACACCUGCGGCGAAGGCGGGUUGCUGGGCCGACACUGACGCUGAAGCGCGAAAGCCCAGGGGGAGCGAAACGGGGA